GGCUGGGCUGAGUGCAGUGGUGUUUACAACUAAUUGAUCACAACCAGUUACAGAUUUCUUUGUUCCUUCUCCACUUCCACUGCUUCACUUGACCAGCCCAAA
ensembl:misc_RNA Y_RNA Y RNA